rfam:chromosome IX of strain GB-M1 of Encephalitozoon cuniculi (Microspora)
GCUGAAUUAGCUUAGUGGUAGAGCAUGGCGUUGUGGCCGCCAAGAUGCGAGUUCGAUUCUCGCAUUCAGCA